rnacentral:rRNA from 1 species
GAGUUUGAUCCUGGCUCAGAAUCAACGCUGGCGGCGUGCCUCAGACAUGCAAGUCGAACGCGAAAGUCCCCUUCGGGGGGCAAGUAGAGUGGCGUCCGGGUGAGUAACACGUAGGUAAUCUACCUUCGGGUGGGGAAUAACGCAGGGAAACUUGCGCUAAUACCGCAUAAUGCAGCGGCACCACAUGGUGACAGUUGUUAAAGCGGGGGAUUUUCGAACCUCGCGCCUGAAGAGGAGCCUGCGGCAGAUUAGCUAGUUGGUAAGGUAACGGCUUACCAAGGCGACGAUCUGUAGCCGGCCUGAGAGGGCGGUCGGCCACACUGACACUGACAUACGGGUCAGACUCCUACGGGAGGCAGCAGUCGGGAAUUUUGGGCAAUGGGCGAAAGCCUGACCCAGCAACGCCGCGUGAAGGAUGAAAUCCUUCGGGAUGUAAACUUCGCAAGAAUAGGAAGAAUGAGCGAGUACUAAUACUGCUCGUGAUGACGGUACUAUUUGUAAGCUCCGGCUAACUCCGUGCCAGC